GGGCAGGCUGGAGUGUGGGCAGAGAGAAGGACACAAGGACACACAGAUAUCGGGAUCAUGGCGAGAGGUAAGAGGGAAAUAUCUGUUUUGCUGGUGCAAUGGGUCCCCUUUUUUGUUCAUGUCCAUACUUCAUGCAAAACAUGGACUUUUAUUUGGCAAUACACGGCUACCAGCAAGGACAACAUUGCUUUGCCCGUUUUCUAAACUGCGUGUGAGCCCCUGUAAGUGCUAUUCUGAUCCCACUCCAGUGCUUUCAUGUCAAUUUAGGAUUCACAUCUACUUGUGGGGAGCUACAAGGGCUCCUCGCUGGGCAACGGUGCUGCUGGCGGCUGCUGUCCCAGCACCGGGCAGCGCGUCCGUCAGCACGGCCAGAGCUGCUUCCAGCUGCAGAGGGAAGAACGGCUAAGAACUGAGAAACCUGAGGUGGGAAUCCUGGUUUACCUGCUCCGAAGCUGCUGCAGGGCCUGGAAAAAACAUCAGUUGAAACUGCAUGCAUGUCUCCAGGUGUGGACUAACUUCAAGAGUCCAAUUAUUUUCCAUUUUCUGCUGGAUCUGUGUGAUUCAGAAGGAGACAAGAUCACGAGAGGAUGGGGUUGGCUCUUCAGUCACCUCUGAAGCUGACAGAAGUUCUUCUGUUCAAGAACGGUGUUUGUGUUUUGUAAUCAUCACCUCUUGCCAAGGACUCGCUGGCAUUAGGUUCACUCCACACACCUUUAUUCAAAGUGAAGGUCUCUGACAGCCCAGGAUCUGGAAAAGCUGCACCCUCGGAGCGACUCAUUGUGCCGGAGAAACCCACUCUAAGGAGGCUGCGGUGUUUUACAGCGACCUGCCACUCCAAAUUUUGCUCAUUGGAGCUGCUGCGGUGGGCCCGGGGGUCUGAGCGAGCACAGGGGCAACUCCGGAGGUGCUCGCGUGUUGUUUGGCGAAGAGAACGGUGUACGCGUGCGCGGUGAGUCU